AACGAACGCUGGCGGCGUGCUUAACACAUGCAAGUCGAACGGAAAGGCCCUGCUUGCAGGGUCCUCGAGUGGCGAACGGGUGAGUAACACGUGGGUGAUCUGCCCUGCACUUCGGGAUAAGCCUGGGCAACUGGGUCUAAUACCGGAUAGGAGCCAUUUUUAGUGUGAUGGUUGGAAAGUUUUUUCGGUGUAGGAUGAGCUCGCGGCCUAUCAGCUUGUUGGUGGGGUAAUGGCCUACCAAGGCGGCGACGGGUAGCCGGCCUGAGAGGGUGGACGGCCACAUUGGGACUGAGAGACGGCCCAGACUCCUACGGGAGGCAGCAGUGGGGAAUAUUGAACAAGGGGCGCAAGCCGGAUGCAGCGACGCCGCGUGGGGGAUGACGGCCUUCGGGUUGUAAACUCCUUUCGCUAGGGACGAAGCUUUUUGUGACGGUACCUAGAGAAGAAGCACCGGCUAACUACGUG
rnacentral:rRNA from 1 species